ACUCAGAAGCUUGGACCGCAUCCUAGCCGCCGACUCACACAAGGCAGGUGGGUGAGGAAAUCCAGAGUUGCCAUGGAGAAAAUUUCAGUGUCAGCAUUCUUGCUCCUUGUGGCCCUCUCCUACACUCUGGCCAGAGAUACCACAGUCAAACCUGGAGCCAAAAAGGACACAAAGGACUCUCGACCCAAACUGCCCCAGACCCUCUCCAGAGGUAGGAGUCAGCUUCUUGUUGGCUUCCAACUGCUACUUAAUUGGAAAAGAUUUCCUCUCUCUUGGUGCUUAAACCUGGUUCUAACCUGGUGCCAGGUUAUUUUUGGUUGUGUUCCUUCUAGACUUAUCACUGUUUAUAAUUAUUUCUACUUUCUCCAGGGGUUUUUCUUCUUCUUUAGUAUAGGGUCUAUUAUCCCAGUCUUUACCAUUGCUUUUCAACAGCUUUGGGUCUGAAUUUAUACAAGCUUCAAAUAUACUGAUUCAUUUCAUUCUAGGUUGGGGUGACCAACUCAUCUGGACUCAGACAUAUGAAGAAGCUCUAUAUAAAUCCAAGACAAGGUAAAGAUCAGGAUUACUCAGAGCUCCCUCAAAGCU
rnacentral:sRNA from 1 species